AUUGAACGCUGGCGGCAGGCCUAACACAUGCAAGUCGAGCGGAUGAAGGGAGCUUGCUCCUGGAUUCAGCGGCGGACGGGUGAGUAAUGCCUAGGAAUCUGCCUGGUAGUGGGGGAUAACGUCCGGAAACGGGCGCUAAUACCGCAUACGUCCUGAGGGAGAAAGUGGGGGAUCUUCGGACCUCACGCUAUCAGAUGAGCCUAGGUCGGAUUAGCUAGUUGGUGGGGUAAAGGCCUACCAAGGCGACGAUCCGUAACUGGUCUGAGAGGAUGAUCAGUCACACUGGAACUGAGACACGGUCCAGACUCCUACGGGAGGCAGCAGUGGGGAAUAUUGGACAAUGGGCGAAAGCCUGAUCUAGCCAUGCCGCGUGUGUGAAGAAGGUCUUCGGAUUGUAAAGCACUUUAAGUUGGGAGGAAGGGCAGUAAGUUAAUACCUUGCUGUUUUGACGUUACCAACAGAAUAAGCACCGGCUAACUUCGUGC
rnacentral:rRNA from 1 species